rnacentral:rRNA from 1 species
GUGAGGAAUAUUGGUCAAUGGGCGAGAGCCUGAACCAGCCAUCCCGCGUGCAGGAAGACGGCCCUAUGGGUUGUAAACUGCUUUUUUAUGGGAAGAAAAAGCUCUACGUGUAGGGCACUGACGGUACCAUAAGAAUAAGCAUCGGCUAACUCCGUGCCAGCAGCCGCGGUAAUACGGAGGAUGCAAGCGUUAUCCGGAUUUAUUAGGUUUAAAGGGUGUGUAGGCGGAAUGCUAAGUCAGUGGUGAAAUCUCUCGGCUUAACCGGGAAACUGCCAUUGAUACUGGUGUUCUUGAGUACAGUUGAAGUAGGCGGAAUGUGUAAUGUAGCGGUGAAAUGCUUAGAUAUUACACAGAACACCGAUUGCGAAGGCAGCUUACUAAGCUGUUACUGACGCUGAUGCACGAAAGCGUGGGGAGCGAACAGGAUUAGAUACCCUUGUAGUCC